GAUGAAGAACGUAGCAAAAUGCGAUACUUGGUGUGAAUUGCAGAAUCCCGUGAACCAUCGAGUUUUUGAACGCAAGUUGCGCCCGAAGCCAUUUGGCCGAGGGCACGUCUGCCUGGGCGUCACGCAUCGCGUCGCCCCCCACAAUUCUCCGUAAAGGGAACAUGUGUUUUGGGGGCGGAUAUUGGUCUCCCGUGCUCAUGGCGUGGUUGGCCGAAAUAGGAGUCCUUUCGAUGGACGCACGAACUAGUGGUGGUCGUAAAAACCCUCGUCUUUUGUUUCGUGCUGUUGCUCGCAAGGUAAACUCUUUAAAAACCCCAAUGUGUCGUCUCUUGACGACGCUUCGACCGCGACCCCAGGUCAGGCGGGACUACCCGCUGAGUUUAAGCAUAUCAAUAAGCGGAGGA
rnacentral:misc_RNA from 1 species